AGGGGGUAGGAGGUGUGGGUGGUGGGACGAUGAGGUGCAGGUCGGGGGAAGAAAGUCAUGGAAAGGAGAGGGUAGUGAACAUGGGGAAAAAACUAAAAAUAGAUCGGGCCGUGGCCUUAAAAGAAACAUCAGCCCAUGAAAGUGAAAUUAGGCCCAAACCCCAAGACGGAUUAAGGAACCAAUCCUCUCUUUAUAGAAAUAGGCAAAGAUUGGAGCGUUCAAAUAACCUUAUGUUCAAUGUUGAGUAACCUUAUGGCAUAUCUUCCAUGUGGAGUAUAUUAUUGGUCACUUUAUUAGCCAAAUGUCUUCAUUUUAUGAAUCAACGGCUGUUGUACUAUUGUCUUAUGAGAUUAAGCAUAUCUAUAUAGACAUCUUAAUCACUAC
rnacentral:lncRNA from 1 species